rnacentral:rRNA from 1 species
UACGGAGGGUGCGAGCGUUGUCCGGAAUCAUUGGGCGUAAAGGGCGCGUAGGUGGCCCGGUCAGUCUUUGGUGAAAGCGCGGGGCUCAACCCUGCGUCGGCCAGGGAUACUGCCGCGGCUCGAGCACUGUAGAGGCAGGCGGAAUUCCGGGUGUAGCGGUGGAAUGCGUAGAGAUCCGGAAGAACACCGGUGGCGAAGGCGGAUCUCUGGGCCUUACCUGACGCUGAGGCGCGAAAGCUAGGGGAGCGAACAGG